rnacentral:tRNA from 1 species
GGUGGCUCAGCAGGAGAGCACAGGAUUUGUAAGUCUGUGGUCCCGAGUUCAAUCCCUGGCACCA